rnacentral:rRNA from 1 species
CACGUGGGUAACCUGCCCAUCAGAAGGGGAUAACACUUGGAAACAGGUGCUAAUACCGUAUAACAAUCGAAACCGCAUGGUUUUGAUUUGAAAGGCGCUUUCGGGUGUCGCUGAUGGAUGGACCCGCGGUGCAUUAGCUAGUUGGUGAGGUAACGGCUCACCAAGGCCACGAUGCAUAGCCGACCUGAGAGGGUGAUCGGCCACAUUGGGACUGAGACACGGCCCAAACUCCUACGGGAGGCAGCAGUAGGGAAUCUUCGGCAAUGGACGAAAGUCUGACCGAGCAACGCCGCGUGAGUGAAGAAGGUUUUCGGAUCGUAAAACUCUGUUGUUAGAGAAGAACAAGGAUGAGAGUAACUGUUCAUCCCUUGACGGUAUCUAACCAGAAAGCCACGGCUAACUACGUGCCAGCAGCCGCGGUAAUACGUAGGUGGCAAGCGUUGUCCGGAUUUAUUGGGCGUAAAGCGAGCGCAGGCGGUUUCUUAAGUCUGAUGUGAAAGCCCCCGGCUCAACCGGGGAGGGUCAUUGGAAACUGGGAGACUUGAGUGCAGAAGAGGAGAGUGGAAUUCCAUGUGUAGCGGUGAAAUGCGUAGAUAUAUGGAGGAACACCAGUGGCGAAGGCGGCUCUCUGGUCUGUAACUGACGCUGAGGCUCGAAAGCGUGGGGAGCAAACAGGAUUAGAUACCCUGGUAGUCCACGCCGUAAACGAUGAGUGCUAAGUGUUGGAGGGUUUCCGCCCUUCAGUGCUGCAGCUAACGCAUUAAGCACUCCGCCUGGGGAGUACGACCGCAAGGUUGAAACUCAAAGGAAUUGACGGGGGCCCGCACAAGCGGUGGAGCAUGUGGUUUAAUUCGAAGCAACGCGAAGAACCUUACCAGGUCUUGACAUCCUUUGACCACUCUAGAGAUAGAGCUUCCCCUUCGGGGGCAAAGUGACAGGUGGUGCAUGGUUGUCGUCAGCUCGUGUCGUGAGAUGUUGGGUUAAGUCCCGCAACGAGCGCAACCCUUAUUGUU